GAGUUAGAGAUAGGGAGGGCCGGCCCCUGGCUUUAGGGGUGGGGAGGAAGUGGGCAGUUGAGGGACUCAGGGGAGGCAGGCGGGAGGAGACAAGCUAGAUAGGCCCAGUAGGGUGGGAUUGCCAGGAGAAGGGGGCCUAAGAGAGGGGACUAGAUACUGGGAGGACUGCUGCUGGGAAGGCGGCACUGAAAAUGCCCAGAGCAACCCAUGGGGAGGGCAGCAUUACUCCAGUCCAGGCUGUCCCUGCUGCCUGUUGGACACGGGGACUUGAUCUCCAGGAGGAGGCUCUUUCGUGGGCCGAGCUGACCCUAGUCUCCUGGGUUUAUGUACAGAAAGGAAAGGCUGAGGUGGGAAGAUGGAGAGGAGAUAGAGACAGGUGGAAUUGGUUGGUUGAUACCGUUGUAGUGAUCGUGGAAGGCAGGGAGUGAGUUCGGGGAGGGCCGACUUUGAACUUGUCAGUACCGGCAGCUCCCCUUUUUUUUCCAGACAAAGGGGUGUGAACCUACCUGGGGAUGAGGCCUGGUCUUGUGGAAACUGGACUUAGCUUCGCGGGGCAGACAGCUCUGGCCCAGGGUGGUAGGUAAUGUGGAUUCAGCCUGGUGGAGCCCAGGUCUGGGUGUGAGGUAAGGCCUCAGUUGGAAGAGAGGGGAGGCCUGAGGAGCGACUACAGAGGCAAGGAGCCAUCCUCACUUGUGGCUAGUGUGGCACCUGUUUGGCAGGGUGGGGCUGCUGAGGCAGGAUGCUUGUGUCUGAGGGCAACAUUGACGGACCUUUAUUUUCCAGGUUAUAGUGGCCUCCACUGGACUUUCCCUAGGUUCCAUGCUAAUCUCUUCUGUGAGCUCACUCUACCCCUCCUCCUCCUCCCUCUUAACUCUGAGGUUGUCCCUUCACUUAAACCUGACGUCUGGUGGUAAGCCUGGGGAACUCGCUGGAUGUGCUGUUGGAGUCGGUACCUUUGGUAAUGGUGGAAGAGAAAAGGCCCACUCCCGCUGAGACUCCCGUGUUCAUCAUGGCGAGCAGAUGGCACCAGGAGAAAUGGAGCCCCUGCCAGUGUGAGUCGUAGCAGUACAGGAGGGGAGACCUUGAAGGAGACAGCCUGAUUAAAUUGAAGCCGGCAGAUUGAAUUCCAGAGGCUUGGGAGCAGUUCUCCAGUGCCAUCUGUCCAGGCCUCGUUCGGGAAGUCCUGUAUUCAGGAGGCCGCCAUUAAAGUUUUCAGAUGAGCUUAUGCGGGGGGGGGAGUCCAAAAAUCCAAAGCAGAUGCAUCCAGCUUGAGGGGCCAUCAGCUUUGAAUAAAAGUCUGUUCCAGGAGCACCGUCCUCAGGGCACGUGAAUGCCAGGCACCCCUUGUUUCCUGGGGAUAGGUUUUCAGAUGCUGCAACUUCUAAAUUGAGCCUCAAAUCAUUCUAGUUCUGUGCUACGAACCUUGCUUCAAGAAGAUUAAGCUGUAGAACGUUUUAACGAUGCCACAACGAAGAGUGAUGCCUUGUAGAUGGCGCUUGCAGAUGGAGCCCAGUGACUUCUCACCUACCCUCCUCCUUGCCUCCCUGCUUGUACGCUGGCCAGAGGAAUUCUUAGCGUGAUGAUAAAACUCUUGGGUGUUGGGGGGAAGCUGUUCGAUUUUAAAUGUCCUAGUGGGUGUAUGUAAGAUGAGGCAAAUUGGUGGCGGCGGGGUGUGUGUGUAAGUGUUGUGCUGAAGUUUGGGCUGGUACAAGCUGAUCACGAGCCCAAGUGCUGGGUAUUUAUUGCAAGUGGUGUUAUCUAGUUUGGACAUUCUGAUGGCAUCGCAGAUCCCUGGGAAGGGAAUGGAUGGUGGGUGUACCGAUAGUAUUGUGUACUGGCAAUGGUACUUAACUGAUGCUUACGAAGCAAGUUCUGCCACUGAGCUAUGCUCCCAGUCCAGAUCUUUGAUUCUUCUUACUCCAUUUAUUUAAACUUGAUUUUUACAUGGCGUUCCAUCGGGGAGGGGGAGUUUCUGAGGUGGGGAUGGAUGGGAAAGAAAACUGAGAGGGAAAAGGGUGGGGGAUACAGCACAGAGGGUGAGAGGUUGGGAAUGUGGCUUGAAGGAGUUGAGAGUGUGGGUGGGACAAUUUAAUAGAACUUCUGAGCGAAGAAAAUAGUUAAUGAUAAAUUGUUAAUGCUGGUUAAAUUGUUGCUUAGAUGCGAUAAAUAUUGCUUAGAAACUGUAAAAGUGCUUAGAACUUGAAGAUCAAGGAAAAAAGCAAAAUUGUUUUGCUUUGCUGAAAAGUGAAGAGAAUUGAAAAGGUUACUAAAAUCCUGAAUAUUUAGUCAUUUGAAAAAUGGUGUCAAACUUACAGCCAGGUGUUUUAUCUGAAGCUGUAGAGGUGUGUGAUUUUUUUUUUUUUUCAAGAGUAAUUUAGGAAAAACUUCUAAAUGCCUAAAUUGUGGGCUUUUAAAGCUUAAGUGUGCCCCUGAGAAUAAAUGGGUUCUUCUGGGCUUAUAAUUCAUAUUUAGUCACUGAGAUCAUUUAUGAUUGAAAAUUCUGAGCAUAGUGCAAAUGUGAUGCCUUCUAAAGAGAUUUCAUGUAUAAGUUGUGUUAUAAAACAUACGUCUGUGAUAGGUCAGUAAUUAUAACAGCAAAACUAUUGCUUGCUUAGUAUUAUCUUUUCCAGUCCGAGGAACCAAUUACCUUUAUGGUCACUGAAAUGACUGUGGUAUUUGGUAGCAAACAAUCCAUAUAUCUUGGCCAGGGUUACACUGAAUAAUAUAUUGCAUCUUUAGUUUGAAUCUGCUAUUUAAGUGAUCCAGGACUAGAGGGGAAACUCAAAAUCCUUUGGGGAAAAAGUAAAACUGAGUAGGGCAUACCUUACUAGAUAUGGUCUGUAAAAAUUUAGAGACUGAAAAGCAUAUUUGUUUUUGACCUGCUUCUGUUUAGUUGGUACAGUAGUAUCAGUGGAUUUUAAAUGUCUCUUUAAUUUCACCUUUAUAAAUUUAAACCCUCAAUACCUUUAUGCUUGACAUUUUUCUGUUUUGGGGUUCCUUUUUUAAAAUGCAUAAUAUGUUGGUGUGGUAGUUUAGUUCCUAACGAGUGACUUGGGUCACUAUCAGAACUUAAUGCAUAUUAGUCAUGCUUGUAUGGGGAUAUAUUUUCGGGUAUACUGUUGUGAAAUGGAAACUGUAAAAGCAAGUGGUUAAAAGUACUUGUUUAUUGCUCUGUAAGGUAAGGACUUUUGUUGCAUCAUGUAUGUAAUUACUAAUUUUUCUUCCACUUCACAGCAUAAAUAAAGGUUUGAGUUCUAAGCUUCUUAGAA